AUCUGUCUCAACUUUAAAUAUUGAAUUUAACUUCUAAGUGAAAAGGCUUAAAUAAUCUUGAAGGACGAUAAGACCCUAUAAAACUUUAUAUUUAAUAUAAUAAGCCUUUAUUUAUUUAUUUAAGACUGUUUAUUUUAUCGAAUAUUUCGUUGGGGCGACGAAAGUAUAAACUCAACUGCUUUUUUUUUCAACACAAAUAUAUUUGAAAAAACUGACCCUUUAAAAGAUCAAAAGAAAAAGUUACUUUAGGGAUAACAGCGUUAUUUUUUUUAAGAGUCCAUAUCGACAAAAAAGUUUGCGACCUCGAUGUUGAAUUAAAUUUCCCUCAUAAUGCAGAAGUUAUAGAGGUAGGUCUGUUCGACCUUUAAAAAUUUACGUGAUCUGAGUUCACACCGGA
rnacentral:rRNA from 1 species